GCAGAAGUAGCUCAGUUGGUAGAGCAUAACCUUGCCAAGGUUAGGGUCGCGAGUUCGAGUCUCGUCUUCUGCU
rnacentral:tRNA from 1 species